CCUACGGGAGGCAGCAGUGGGGAAUAUUGGGCAAUGGAGGCAACUCUGACCCAGCAACGCCGCGGGAAUGAUGAAGGUCUUCGGAUGGUAAAGUUCUGUGAUGGGGGAUGAACACAAUGACGGUACCCCAAUAGCAAGCCACGGCUAACUACGUGCCAGCAGCCGCGGUAAUACGUAGGUGGCAAGCGUUCUCCGUAAUGACUGGGCGUAAAGUGUGCGUAGGUGGUUUAGUAAGUUGGAUGUGUAAUGCCGGGGUUCAACCUCGGCGAUACCGCCAAAACUAUUAGAAUAGAGUGCAGGAGGAGGAAGUGGAAUUCCUAGUGUAGCGGUGGAAUGCGUAGAUAUUAGGAGGAACAUCAGGGGCGAAGGCGACUUACUGGACUGUAACUGACACUGAGGCACGAAAGCGUGGGGAGCAAACAGGAUUAGAUACCCUAGAAGUC
rnacentral:rRNA from 1 species